AGCUUUGUGCAGUGGCAGUAUCGUAGCCAAUGAGGUUUAUCCGAGGCGCGAUUAUUGCUAAUUGAAAAAGAGGCUCAAAGCAU
rnacentral:snRNA from 1 species